UCCUGACCACACGGGGGCCUCGGAAGAGGCUGAGACCGGGCUGACACCGCCCGAGACCGUCGAACCUGAUCCGGCUCGUACCGGCGUAGGAAGUGAGGACAGCCCAUGG
rnacentral:ncRNA from 2 species